rnacentral:rRNA from 1 species
GACGAACGCUGGCGGCGUGCCUAACACAUGCAAGUCGAGCGGGGACUUAUGGAAUGAAGCUUCGGCAGAAUGAAGUAAGUUCUAGCGGCGGACGGGUGAGUAACGCGUGAGCAACCUGCCUAUCACAGGGGAAUAACGCAUCGAAAGGUGUGCUAAUACCGCAUGAGACCACAGGACCGCAUGGUCAAGGGGUCAAAGAUUUAUCGGUGAUAGAUGGGCUCGCGUCUGAUUAGCUAGUUGGUAAGGUAACGGCUUACCAAGGCAACGAUCAGUAGCCGACCUGAGAGGGUGACCGGCCACAUUGGGACUGAGACACGGCCCAA